rnacentral:rRNA from 1 species
UCGCCUAGUAAGACUGGGAUAACUCCCGGGAAACCGGGGCUAAUACCGGAUGGUUGUUUGAACCGCAUGGUUCAGACAUAAAAGGUGGCUUCGGCUACCACUUACAGAUGGACCCGCGGCGCAUUAGCUAGUUGGUGAGGUAACGGCUCACCAAGGCNACGAUGCGUAGCCGACCUGAGAGGGUGAUCGGCCACACUGGGACUGAGACACGGCCCAGACUCCUACGGGAGGCAGCAGUAGGGAAUCUUCCGCAAUGGACGAAAGUCUGACGGAGCAACGCCGCGUGAGUGAUGAAGGUUUUCGGAUCGUAAAGCUCUGUUGUUAGGGAAGAACAAGUGCCGUUCAAAUAGGGCGGCACCUUGACGGUACCUAACCAGAAAGCCACGGCUAACUACGUGCCAGCAGCCGCGGUAAUACGUAGGUGGCAAGCGUUGUCCGGAAUUAUUGGGCGUAAAGGGCUCGCAGGCUGGUUUCUUAAGUCUGAUGUGAAAGCCCCCCGGCUCAACCGGGGAGGGGUCAUUGGAAACUGGGGAACUUGAGUGCAGAAGAGGAGAGUGCAAUUCCACGUGUAGCGGUGAAAUGCGUAGAGAUGUGGAGGAACACCAGUGGCGAAGGCGACUCUCUGGUCUGUAACUGACNCUGAGGAGCGAAAGCGUGGGGAGNGAACACGAUUAGAUACCCUGGUAGUCCACGCUGUNAACGAUGAGUGCUAAGUGUUAGGGGGUUCCUCCGCCCCUUAGUGCUGCAGCUAACGCAUUAAGCACUCCNCCUGGGGAGUACGGUCGCAAGANUNAAACUCAAAGGAAUUGACGGGGNCCCGCACNAGCGGUGGAGCAUGUGGUUUAAUUAGAAGCAACGCGAAGAACCUUACCAGGUCUUGACAUCCUNUGACAAUCCUAGAGAUAGGACGUCCCCUUCGGGGGCAGAGUGACAGGUGGUGCAUGGUUGUNGUCAGCUCGUGUCGUGAGAUGUUGGGUUAAGUCCCGCAACGAGCGCAACCCUUGAUNUUAGUUGCCAGCAUUCAGUUGGGCACUCUAAGGUGACUGCCGGUGACAAACCGGAGGAAGGUGGGGAUGACGUCAAAUCAUCAUGCCCCUUAUGACCUGGGCUACACACGUGCUACAAUGGNCAGAACAAAGGGCAGCGAAACCGCGAGGUUAAGCCAAUCCCACAAAUCUGUUCUCAGUUCGGAUCGCAGUCUGCAACUCGACUGCGUGAAGCUGGAAUCGCCUNGUNAAUCUGCGGC